AAGUCUUCUGUUUGCUCUCUCUCUCUCUCUCUCUCUCUCUCUCACGCAGUGUGUUCACAGAAUUAGCAUGUAAGAUAUAUCUUGUGUUCAGUGUGUUUACUCUAUUUGCUCUUGCAUUGGAACUCCUUGUGUUGGUGUCUGUGUUUGCUCUUGAUAAAAUGGUUUAUGAUUCCGGAGAUUCUUGUGGUUUUGGUACAGUUCGAUCAGAGGCAGAAGUCUAUGGGCCGCCCAACUAGUGAUGAGAUGCAGAAACAGGAGAUUCUGAAGAAAUUCAUGGCUGAGCAUCCGGAGAUGGACUUUUCAAAUGCAAAGAUAGCAUAAUGGGACUGUUUCUGUCGGUGAUCCUUUUUGGCUGACCUAUCACAUAGUUUGGGCUUUUGGGAAUUUUGGGCGGGUUUUGUUGUGUUUGAGGGGUCAAGAGUGGUUGAACUUUGUUCAUAUUGAGAUGUUGGAUCAAGUUAUAAACUAGCAUAAUCCUUUACAAGAUGGAAAUUAGUUAAUGUUAACUCUCUGCUGGUUGGUGUUUUGCGAA